rnacentral:rRNA from 1 species
GAUGAACGCUAGCGGCAGGCCUAACACAUGCAAGUCGAGGGGCAGCACAGAAACAGCAAUGUUUUGGUGGCGACCGGCGGACGGGUGCGUAACGCGUAUGCAACCUACCUUUAACAGGGGGAUAACGGAGAGAAAUUUCCACUAAUACCCCAUAACAUCGAUCAAGGCAUCUUGAUUGGUUGAAAACUCCGGUGGUUAAAGAUGGGCAUGCGUUGUAUUAGGUAGUUGGUGAGGUAGUGGCUCACCAAGCCUACGAUGCAUAGGGGGACUGAGAGGUUAGCCCCCCACAAUGGUACUGAGACACGGACCAGACUCCUACGGGAGGCAGCAGUGAGGAAUAUUGGUCAAUGGGGGCAACCCUGAACCAGCCAUGCCGCGUGCAGGAAGACGGCUCUAUGAGUUGUAAACUGCUUUUAAACAGGGAUAAAGCACAGUAUGUAUACUGUGUUGAAGGUACUGUAAGAAUAAGGAUCGGCUAACUCCGUGCCAGCCGCCGCCGUAA